rnacentral:lncRNA from 1 species
AAGAAUUAUAAAAACAAAAGGAGAGAGAGAGAAAAGAACAAAAAGAUAAAGAACUAAAGAUUCAGCCUCAAGAAAGGAGGAAAUUCUGUCAUAUGCUACAACGUGGACAAACACUGAAAUUAUGCUAAGUGAAAUAAGACAACCAGAGAAAUACUACUCAAUACUCCACUUACAAGAUGUCUCUAAACAGUUAAACUCAGAAACAGAAAGUAAAAUGGUAGUUGCCAAGGAUUGACUGGAGGGGGAAAUAGGGAGUGCUGUUCAAAGGAUACAGAGGUUCAGUUGUGCAACACGAAAAACUCUAGAGAUCUGCUUUACCACACUGUUCUUAC